ACUUAAGUAGUUUAAAUAAAAUUGUGAUUUGUGAUAUCAUAGAUAUAGUAAUUAUCUUAAGUU
rnacentral:tRNA from 1 species